AUAAACAUAUCGAAAAGCAGAGUAGGAAUUGGAGAUCUGAAGAGAGCUUCUGGAUGGUGUAAAGAAGUGUUUGAAGGUUCUGAAGAUGGGCUUGGAAUGGCAUCAGUGAUGUUAGCUGGUGACGGAGUUGCACACGUUAUUAGUGCAAGGUUAUACGAGGGAGACGUCCUUCAUGUAACCUGCUGAGGUUGGACUCGUGAGGGUUCAACGAACUAAAGGUGGCAACGCGAGUAAUCGUCCUUUAU
rnacentral:ncRNA from 1 species